UACGUAGGGUGCGAGCGUUAAUCGGAAUUACUGGGCGUAAAGCGUGCGCAGGCGGUUCGACAAGUCCGAUGUGAAAGCCUCGGGCUCAACCUGGGAAUGGCAUUGGAAACUGGCGAGCUUGAGUGUGGCAGAGGGGGGUGGAAUUCCGCGUGUAGCAGUGAAAUGCGUAGAGAUGUGGAGGAACACCAGUGGCGGAGGCGACUCUUUGGCCUAUAACUGACGCUGAGGCGCGAAAGCGUGGGGAGCAAACAGG
rnacentral:rRNA from 1 species